UGGCAGCAGUGGGGAAUAUUGGACAAUGGGCGAAAGCCUGAUCCAGCCAUGCCGCGUGUGUGAAGAAGGUCUUCGGAUUGUAAAGCACUUUAAGUUGGGAGGAAGGGCAGUAAGUUAAUACCUUGCUGUUUUGACGUUACCAACAGAAUAAGCACCGGCUAACUUCGUGCCAGCAGCCGCGGUAAUACGAAGGGUGCAAGCGUUAAUCGGAAUUACUGGGCGUAAAGCGCGCGUAGGUGGUUUGUUAAGUUGAAUGUGAAAGCCCCGGGCUCAACCUGGGAACUGCAUCCAAAACUGGCAAGCUAGAGUAUGGCAGAGGGUGGUGGAAUUUCCUGUGUAGCGGUGAAAUGCGUAGAUAUAGGAAGGAACACCAGUGGCGAAGGCGACCACCUGGGCUAAUACUGACACUGAGGUGCGAAAGCGUGGGGAGCAAACAGGAUUAGAUACCCCGGUAGUC
rnacentral:rRNA from 1 species